AUUGAACGCUGGCGGCAUGCCUUACACAUGCAAGUCGAACGGCAGCACGGGAGCAAUCCUGGUGGCGAGUGGCGAACGGGUGAGUAAAGUAUCGGAACGUGCCCAGUCGUGGGGGAUAACGUAGCGAAAGUUACGCUAAUACCGCAUACGAUCUAUGGAUGAAAGCGGGGGAUCGCAAGACCUCGCGCGAUUGGAGCGGCCGAUAUCAGAUUAGGUAGUUGGUGGGGUAAAGGCUCACCAAGCCGACGAUCUGUAGCUGGUCUGAGAGGACGACCAGCCACACUGGGACUGAGACACGGCCCUGACUCCUACGGGAGGCAGCAGUGGGGAAUUUUGGACAAUGGGCGAAAGCCUGAUCCAGCCAUGCCGCGUGCAGGAUGAAGGCCUUCAGGUUGUAAACUGCUUUUGUACGGAACGAAAAGGUUUGGGCUAAUAAGCUGAGCUCAUGACGGUACCGUAAGAAUAAGCACCGGCUAACUACGUGCCAGCCGCCGCAGUAA
rnacentral:rRNA from 1 species